CAGUAGCCGCGGUAAUACGAAGGGGGCUAGCGUUGUUCGGAUUUACUGGGCGUAAAGGGCGCGUAGGCGGACUGAUGAGUCAGGGGUGAAAUCCCAAGGCUCAACCUUGGAACUGCCUUUGAUACUGUUUGUCUUGAGUUCGGGAGAGGUAAGUGGAACUGCGAGUGUAGAGGUGAAAUUCGUAGAUAUUCGCAAGAACACCAGUGGCGAAGGCGGCUUACUGGCUCGAAACUGACGCUGAGGCGCGAAAGCGUGGGGAGCAAACAGGAUUAGAGACCCCCGUAGUCCCUGUCUCUUAUAA
rnacentral:rRNA from 1 species